UCAGUGAUGGAGGGAGACUGUGCCCCAA
rnacentral:piRNA from 1 species